ACUAAAGUAGUUUAAUAAAAACGGUGAUUUGUGGGGUCAUUAAUACGAUUAAUUCGUUUUUGGUU
rnacentral:tRNA from 1 species